rnacentral:rRNA from 1 species
UACGGGGGGGCAAGCGUUGUUCGGAAUUACUGGGCGUAAAGGGCUCGUAGGCGGCCAACUAAGUCAUACGUGAAAUCCCUCGGCUUAACCGGGGAACUGCGUCUGAUACUGGAUGGCUUGAGUUCGGGAGAGGGAUGCGGAAUUCCAGGUGUAGCGGUGAAAUGCGUAGAUAUCUGGAGGAAUACCGGUGGCGAAGGCGGCAUCCUGGACCGGCAUUGACGCUGAUGAGCGAAAGCUAGGGGAGCAAACGGG